AUUAUCUCGCGAGAUAGUGGUGACGUCACGCGUUCUUCCGGAAGUUCACAUUCAAACACGAGGAGCGAUUACGAGGGAGUUUUGUCUAUAUAUCAUUAAAAAUCUACUGUUGGGAAAAGCAGAACCUCAUCCAAAUAAAAAUAAACAAGCUGUUAAAGGCACUGUGUCCUACACAGACCCUCCAAAAUAUAACCACCCAAGUCAGUUGAAGGUCAACACAAACCAAAUAAAGAUGUGCAUUCUACAAACAAUAAAAAAGAUCAAGUUUUGUGUCCACCACACUUAGAUGAGGCGUGCCCGACCCCUGACUUUGUCUACCCUACAUUUAGUUGCACACUUCAUGACAGUAAACAUCGGUAUCACAAUGGUGUGAUUGAUCUAUACAAUAGAAUAAGCUGUGAGAUUAUGAGACGUACGUGCUACUGAUGCUUUUUUUUGGUGCAUUCCCACACUAUACAAACACAUUGCUUGGCUCCUAAGUGCAUACACUUUUGCCUUUAUAAUGUCAUUCUCAUUUUUAGGUAAAAAUGUAUUCCAUGAGUCAGGGUUUUGCCUGAAUGUCAACAUAAUAUCCAAAAACUUUGAUAUAAAAAGUGAUUUAUUUUAAUAUUUUACACUACUAUGUAUUUUUUAAACUACAUUGUGCAUGUGUAUGUUUAUUGUACUUAAUGAAAUUACAUGCAAGGUGUCAUGCAAGAUUUUACAUUAGUGACAACAAAGCUAAGAGUAUAAACAUAUUUACAUUUCUCUGAAUCUGAGUUAAUAGUUACAAAUGCAGAGCUCAUAAUAUCUGUCAUUGCUCAACCACAAAGACCUAAAAGUACAGCCAGCUGAUUUCAUAACUAAUGCAGUAUUACACUGUGAAGUGAUUUACUGUUAAUAUUUUACACUACCAUAUAAUUAACUCUAUUUGUACAGGUGAGGUAACACAACGAAAAAAUUACCGGAUGGAGACUACCUGAUUCUUCACCUAUGGCCUCAGCUUCAAAUGCAACAUGUCCAGCAACUGUCUGAGUUGGUGGAUAUUCUGUCAGAGACUGCGUGAACAACGUUAUGAACAGAAUGAUGUCAAAUUGUCUUAUGGCAAAGUUCAAUAUGAGGGGUGGUGGACAUCUGGAAAAGAAGUCUUUUAAAGGCACACCUUUGUAUUAUGUUAUUCAAGAUGCUGUGAAGAGGUGGAGCCCAAAUGCCACAGACUCGGAAAUAGAUGCAGCUAUGGCAGACCACCUCAAGCACGCUCCAGGAAGAGCUGGGGGUGGUGGAUCCAAAAAAGCCAAACAGCUGUGAUGUGUUAAAGAGAGAGUUCACCAAAAAAGGAAAAUUGUUAUAAUUUUCUUAUCCACAUGUUUCAAACCUGUAUACCUUUAUAUUUUCUGCUGAACACAAAGAUUGAAGAAUGUUUGUAACUUCACAACCAAUUAACUGUCAAUAUUUUUUUUACAAUUGUAGUAAUGGGUUGUGGGAUCUGCUUUGUUAAAAACAUUCUUUCACAUAUCUUUGUGUUCAGCAGAACAUAGAAGGGUAUACAGGUUUGAAACAUGAGAGGGAAUAAAUGACUAAAUAUUAAUUUUUGGGUGAACUAUCCCUUUAUAGAAAGUGUUUUGAAGUUGUUAUUAUAGUUAAAUGGUUAAAAAAAUAAAAAGUGCUAAAUCAGAA